rnacentral:rRNA from 1 species
AUACGGAGGGUGCAAGCGUUAUUCGGAAUUACUGGGCGUAAAGCGCGCGUAGGCGGAUGAUUAAGUCAGUUGUGAAAGCCCUGGGCUCAACCUAGGAACUGCAUCUGAUACUGGUCGUCUAGAGUUUAAGAGAGGGAAGUGGAAUUCCAGGUGUAGCAGUGAAAUGCGUAGAUAUCUGGAGGAACAUCAGUGGCGAAGGCGACUUCCUGGCUUAAAACUGACGCUGAGGUGCGAAAGCGUGGGUAGCGAACGGGAUUAGAAACCCUAGUAGUCC